GCUUGGAAGCAGCCAUUCAUUUAAAGAGUGCGUAACAGCUCACUAGUCGAGGAGUCGGGCGUGGAUAAUAAUCGGGUAUCAAGUUGUCUACCGAAGCAGUGGGAUCAUUUAUAUGAUCGGUAGGGGAGCAUUCCAGUCAGCGUCGAAGGCGUACCGUGAGGUAUUCUGGAGCGUCUGGAAAAGCAAAUGUAGGUAUAAGUAACGAUAAAGGGGGCGGGAAACCCCCUCGCCGAAAGACUAAGGUUUCCUGAUCAACGCUAAUCGGAUCAGGGUCAGUCGGGUCCUAAGGCUCAGCCGAACGGCGAUGCCGAUGGCAGAAACGGUUAAUAUUCCGUUACUACCUUCAGGAGUGACGUGGAGACGCAGUAGUGACAGUGCCGCCAUCUGACGGAAUAGAUGGUUGAAGGGUGUAGGAGUCGAUCAUGGCAGGCAAAUCCACCAUGAGAUCCGAACCUGAUAGUAUGCCGCGUCCUUCGGGACAAGGCAAUAGUGCGCGUAAGCAUGCUGCCGAGAAAAUCCGCUAAACUUAAUCCUGCAGGUACCCGUACCGCAAACGGACACACGUAGUCGGGUUGAAUAUACUAAGGCGCUUGAGUGAUUCACGGUUAAGGAACUAGGCAAACUGACCCUGUAACUUCGGGAUAAAGGGUCCCUACCCUUUUAUGGGAGGGCGCAGAGAAUCGGUCCAGGCAACUGUUUAACAAAAACACAGGGCUGUGCCAAAUCGAAAGAUCCAGUAUACAGCCUGACACCUGCCCGGUGCUGGAAGGUUAAGAGGAGAUGUCAUCGAUAAGAGAAGCGUUGAAUUGAAGCCCCAGUAAACGGCGGCCGUAACUAUAACGGUCCUAAGGUAGCGAAAUUCCUUGUCGGGUAAGUUCCGACCUGCACGAAUGGUGUAAUGAUCUGGACGCUGUCUCAACCGUGAGCUCAGUGAAAUUGUAGUAUCGGUGAAGAUGCCGAUUACCCGCGAUGGGACGAAAAGACCCCGUGAACCUUUACUAUAGCUUAUCAUUGAAUCUGGGCACGUGAUGUGUAGGAUAGGUCGGAGGCUUUGAAGCAGGUACGCCAGUAUUUGUGGAGCCGCUGUUGAAAUACGACCCUUUAUUUGUUUGGAUUCUAACCCGUGGAUACGGGGACAUUGAUUGGUGGGUAGUUUGACUGGGGUGGUCGCCUCCAAAAGCGUAACGGAGGCUUCUAAAGGUGCCCUCCGGCCGAUUGGUAACCGGCCUUAGAGUGUAAUGGCAUAAGGGCGCUUGACUGGGAGACUGACAAGUCGAUCAGGUAGGAAACUAGAGCAUAGUGAUCCGGUGUUUCCGUAUGGAAGGGACAUCGCUCAAAGGAUAAAAGGUACUCCGGGGAUAACAGGCUGAUCCCUCCCA
rnacentral:rRNA from 1 species